ensembl:lncRNA
UGCUGUUGGAGCCUGGAAUUCUCUCUCUGUGUCUCUUGUUCAAUCACUUUCUCUCUUCUUCUCUGUUUUUCCCACUUUCAUCUUGUCUUAUGAGCAAGCCCCCCGUUUAAAACCUAAACCUAUCCUUAUUUCUAGCCAAGCCUGAUCCGCUUCCAAAUCCUCCCUGCCCUGCCUGCCAACACCAGGAGCACAGAAGAGAAGGGAAGAACUCAAAGAGGAUUCUUUCUUCAUCCUGCAGAGGGAAGACGUGCGUGAGAGCGUUUGCUGUGUCAGCUCAUGAGCAGCAGGCAGUAGCACCUGAUGUCUUUGUUGCUAAGCUCCUGCUCCUGUCUAGCAACUGUCACCGCAGAAACUAUCCUGGGAGUGUGCCCCUGUUGCUUGGAGACGUGAACUCUGUUGACAGGCUGACAGUUUGACCCCCGCUAUGCUCUACAAUGACUGCAGCAGCAUGUCAUUCUCAUCUGGAUACACAUCGCCGCCGUCUCUCUGACUUCAACCUGAGAUGCUGGUCACUAUUGCAUGGAAAAGAGCUGCUUGAACAUCCUACUAAACAUCUCCGUUUGUGUUCAAGAAAACAAGGACAGUGAGUAACAAGACAACGGGUUUGGAGUGACGUGGGUCUGUGUGGGAAUGUAGGUCUCUCAGGGCCGGUCGGUCGGGUCAGAGCAGGCUUACGGCUGUAAUCUCCCCAGCAGACGUCCAUAUCAGGAGCGGCAGGAGGAGGUGUGACGCUCGUCUAGACGGGCCGCAGACGCUUCCCCUCCCCCAGAGACCUGCUGUUCCUGGCACACAACGGACCACGGGGCAUUCACAUUAUACUGAGGGAAUUUUCUCUCACAGAAACUCAUUCACAUUGUGUAUGAAGCCUCAUGGAAUAUUAAAAUGUGACAGCUGGGGGAAAACAAAAUGUGAAUCUGAAACUCAAAAACAAU